GUGGAUGUGGCGCGUAGCGCGUUUCGUUGCCAACGAGAAGGCCGCGGGUUCGAUCCCCGCCAUCCGCACCA
rnacentral:tRNA from 1 species